ensembl:lncRNA
GCUUUUCUCAAGCUCGGCUUCUCCUGGUUUUCACGUGCACACCAGCUGCUAGGAAAUGAUAUAUCAGUUUUUGCUGUAAGCUGCAGCUUUUAUUACCGAGGUGCUCCUGCUGCCUUUUCUGAGAAUUCCAGGUCCCCCACACUGAAACUACUGAUGCUGUACUGGGGCAUUUGAUUCGUUUUCCUUUUUUAUUUUUAAGCAGUAUCUGCUAACAUCCAAAUUAUUCUCGGCUUCCUGAAACACUCCCUAUCAUAAAGAGUGAUUCAAGAGUGUGCGUUUGUGGUAAUUAACCCAUCAUGAAAGUUGCAAUGUCAGGAAAUAUAUGGUUCUCCACACUUUUUCCCCUUCUCUUUCACUCUCUUUUUUUUUUUUUUUUUUUCUAACUACUUGUCUAUUUAUAGAAAUACGUCUUGCCCUUUACUUAAGAGGCAGUGACUUGGAGAAGCAGAUAUUUAGAGGAAGUCCAUUUGCUUGACAAAAACAUCUAUUACUUUUAUCACCAUUGGAGACCGAAAAAGAAUCAAUUACAAUACUUCACUUGGGAAUGACUAAUUGAAUUGUGAAACAUACUGAUGUUCUGAAGUCACCGAGGAAAAGCACAUGGUUCAUCACUGAAGGAGCUCCAGGAAGGAAGGGGUGACAGACACUUCCAAAUCAAAAGAAAACUACAACAUCCAUCCUUCCCGUUCCCCUUGAAAACUGACACCUUUGCAGCAAAGGAUGUAACAGCCAUGAUACCACAGAAAAAGAAGGCUGGUACGCAAAGCAGACAGUUCACUGAGGUUAAAGAUAUUGAUAAUAAUGAUGAGAAAGGAAAGAAGGAAAUCAUAAGAAAAAUAAACUGAUAUCAACCUAUGACUGCACCCAAACCAUCAAGAUAUUUUCAUGAUCAUGCUGUAAAUACUUGGAUUUCUUCCUCACUUCACCCUCAUGAAAGCACAUGCACUCACACACAUUCACACAACUGUAUCACACAGUAACAGGCAAUAGUCAUGUGCAGUGACCAGUGGAGUAUUUAGACUACACCCUACAUACUUAUGCUGGUCAAGAUGAAGACAAAAGUACAGUUCUCUGAACUGUAUCUUUUUACCAGACCACAGCUAAACAAAAGGGAAUUCAGCAUAAGAAGGGCAGAUCAGCAUUUCAGAGGGAACAUGACAACUAUAAAUGUUUAUACUAAAGAAGAAGAAAUCAACCGAGGAAAACCCUCUUUACCAAGACAAGCAUCUCACAUUUCUGAGUAGCACCUUGUCAGAAUUCAUGUUGUGCUUUUAUCUGCCAGCCCCAGCUAUCAAAAUUAUCCCCAGGUCAUUCAAACGUGCCUGGAGCUGCAUACCUGUGUUUUCUUUGUAUGGAAACCAAGAAUGGGAAAGAAGAGCAAUCAGGUCUUAACAAGGCCAAGGCACACACUUGAGAUGGGGAUCAGACAAAGUCUAGACAGAUUCCUUAGCUGGGUUUUGUGUUGUGUUUUUUUGUUGUUUAUUUUAAUUGCAGUUGUUGUUUUUCCUUCCCCCCCACAUUCCUUAAUACUAGCCAUUUGGUCUUUAUAAAACAUCCAAAAUGUGUAUGUAUUUAUAUUGUAUGUGUGAAAUAUAAAAAUUAUAUAUUCUGCUAAAGUAUUCCAUUCUGAGUGUUACUGUAUUGUAUACAGCGUCUUUUCCUGUUUUAUAUUAUUUAAAGAUGUACAUUAAAAACAGUUCAUAAAGACUCAUUGGU